UACGGGGGGAGCAAGCGUUGUUCGGAUUUACUGGGCGUAAAGGGCGCGUAGGCGGCCAGCACAAGUCAGUUGUGAAAUCUCCGAGCUUAACUCGGAAAGGUCAACUGAUACUGUGCGGCUAGAGUGCAGAAGGGGCAACCGGAAUUCUUGGUGUAGCGGUGAAAUGCGUAGAUAUCAAGAGGAACACCUGAGGUGAAGACGGGUUGCUGGGCUGACACUGACGCUGAGGCGCGAAAGCUAGGGUAGCAAACGGG
rnacentral:rRNA from 1 species